GUCCCUGUCGAUUAGUGGUUAAAUCAUCACGUUGUGGUCAUUCUGCAAAUCCGUGAAGCCGGGAGCUCGAAUCUCCCCAGGGACA
rnacentral:tRNA from 1 species